rnacentral:tRNA from 1 species
AGCCCCGUCGUCUAGUGGCCUAGGAUGCGGGGCUCUGGCCCCCGUGACCGGGGUUCGAAUCCCCGCGGGGCUA